rnacentral:rRNA from 1 species
GAUGAACGCUGGCGGCGUGCUUAACACAUGCAAGUCGAACGAAGCACCUUGAUUUGAUUCUUCGGAUGAAGAUCUUGGUGACUGAGUGGCGGACGGGUGAGUAACGCGUGGGUAACCUGCCUCAUACAGGGGGAUAACAGUUAGAAAUGACUGCUAAUACCGCAUAAGACCACAGUACCGCAUGGUACAGGGGUAAAAACUCCGGUGGUAUGAGAUGGACCCGCGUCUGAUUAGGUAGUUGGUGGGGUAACGGCCUACCAAGCCGACGAUCAGUAGCCGACCUGAGAGGGUGACCGGCCACAUUGGGACUGAGACACGGCCCAAACUCCUACGGGAGGCAGCAGUGGGGAAUAUUGCACAAUGGGGGAAACCCUGAUGCAGCGACGCCGCGUGAGCGAUGAAGUAUUUCGGUAUGUAAAGCUCUAUCAGCAGGGAAGAAAAUGACGGUACCUGACUAAGAAGCACCGGCUAAAUACGUGCCAGCCGCCGCCGUAA